AUAUAUGGACUCUUAUACCGGCCCAUUAGGCCCAUCAGGGCAUUGUACUUAACCUAGAUUCCUUAUGUACUCUAUAUAUACAUUCCAGUGAUUAAUAAAGUAUCUAAGUUUUCACAACACGUUAUCAGCACGAUAAGACUCUCUGAGCGAAAAACCCUAAUAAAUCCGGCCACCACCAAAACCCUAAAAGCAAGUCGAAACUUAAAAGACGCAUAUCUUCCAAACCGUGAGGAACCAGAAGACGAUCUACAUAUCAAAUCGAAGCCCUCGACGAGACGAAUCUACUGGUGAAAACCGUUUGUCGACCCAACGUCGGACGCGCCCUCACGCACACUUACAGUACACGACGAUCAACCAAAAAAAAAAAAAAAAACCAGAUCCGAGUUUUUCCUUCUUCAACCAGCAGCUUCUCCAGUUUUGGUGAUCAAUCCUUGGAAUUUGUAGCGGCUAACUGAGGUCUAUUAGCUC
rnacentral:lncRNA from 1 species